GGAAACACCCUGUUUCUCGCUGAUUUCACUGUUUUCAGGAAUGGUUUAAUGUCUUCGAAAAAAUCUGUUAGCAUUUCUACCGUUUUAAGACGACAUAUCGUCAGAAGGGAGUGUCCAAGAUUUCGAUAUUUCUGAAGGUAGCUGCUGACAGAGAUGUAGGAAGCGCUGAAAAGAUUCUUCAGUGCUGAUGGCCUGCUGCAUCCAGCAGAGUCGCAGUGAACCUACUGUAAGACAACAUCUCCAAGAUGCUAUUGACCACAAGACUAGUACAGGUUAUUAGAAACUGCACAGCACAGGACUUGCAGGACUUGUGAGGACUUCAGAUGAUACCAGUACUCAAAAGACCUUAGAUGAUGGCAACUAUAGAUGGACAUACAAACUACUGCCACUACAAAAAAGGUAAUGUUAACUUGAAAGAGCUGUGUCACAGUAUCAAGGGAUCCCUUAUCAGUUCUGCUUUCAGUACUGGAGAGUAAAAGAUAAAAAAAAAAAAUUUUGUUUGAUGUUUUUAUUAGUACAUAUACGUUAUCUUGCACAUUUUAUCUCCCCAACAGAUUCUAAUUUGAAAGUUUAUAAUGCAUGUUCGCUACUACCAAUUCAGAAGACUGAAUCAGCCUGUGUAUCUGAAUGUUUCUCAUACUCACUCCUCUCUACCGCGUCUGAAUUUGGGAUUUUCCUUAGCUGUCAGUUAUAAACGUCAAAAUUAAAAGAAAUAAACAUUUGAAAUAUAUCAGUCUGUGUGUAAUGAAUAAAUAUAAUAUACAAGUUUAACUUUUUUAAUGGAAUUAGAGAAAUAAAUCAACUUUUUGAUGAUAUUCUAAUUAUGUGACCAGCACCUGUAUAUCAUUGCUCUUUUGUUGAUUUUGAUUGCUUCCAUUGUCCUCAUUUGUAAGUUGCUAUGGA